CACACACACACACACACACACACGGCACCUCUUGGUGCGUUCUGCAGGGGCAGCGUUGGAUAUCGGUGACAAAAUGUUCCUGACAAAACCCUCCGAUCAGGAAACAUGCGUGUACGUCUGUAUCAGUGGGCACACAGUCCCGCACAGCAGAGGAAGACAGCGGGCAGACACGUGGAGGCCGAUGGCUGUGCGGGUACACAUUGUAUGUUUCAACACAGACGGGGACCCUCUGAGAGGGGACUUGUGUACCGGGAACCCGUCCCCCGCCUUGGAGCACAUUCCUAAUCCCAUGGCUUCCAGCCGGCACCCACACACCUGUGACUUACGGCCCCGCGUGUUUCCAGAGGAAAUCUUGUCCUUCCUGUCCGUGGUCUGUGGGUCGGUGCCGAGAAAGAAGUACGCAGGUGGCCCAGCAGGUGUGGCUCAGUGGUUGAGCGUCAACCCAGGAACAAAGAGGUCUCCGGCAGGUCGGCUUGUGGGCUCCAUCCUCAGCAGGGGGCGUGCAGAAGGCCGCCCGUCGAUAAGGUUCCUCUCUCGUCGAUGUUUCUGUCUCUCUGUUCCUCUCC